GGAAAUGCUAAAAGUGUUCAUGUCAAACGAUCAUCAGUGAAUUACAGCUUACAAGAAAGCUGCCGCAGCAACUGGUGGAGGUCUUAAACCAUUAAGCACAUAUGCUGAGGUGGUUGAGCUCGGACAAAGUAAUGCCUCUAAAAGCGGGUAAAUGCUUCCUCUGGUGCUGGUUGACGGACUCUAGAGUUCUUGCCAAGGACAAACAUCCCUUCCCCAUUCCUUGGCCCGUGGCAGGUGUGUUACCAGGGAAAGACAGAUGAACGGAGCCAUGGACGCAGAGGCCAUAGCAUUAGAAGAACUGUGAAUAAGCAAUACAACUUUGUA